GACGAACGCUGGCGGCGUGCCUAAUACAUGCAAGUUGAGCGCUGAGGGGUGGUACUUGUACCAACUGGAUGAGCAGCGAACGGGUGAGUAACGCGUGGGGAAUCUGCCUUUGAGCGGGGGACAACAUUUGGAAACGAAUGCUAAUACCGCAUAAAAACUUUAAACACAAGUUUUAAGUUUGAAAGAUGCAAUUGCAUCACUCAAAGAUGAUCCCGCGUUGGAUUAGCUAGUUGGUGAGGUAAAGGCUCACCAAGGCGAUGAUACGUAGCCGACCUGAGAGGGUGAUCGGCCACAUUGGGACUGAGACACGGCCCAAACCUCUACGGGAGGCAGCAGUAGGGAAUCUUCGGCAAUGGACGAAAGUCUGAACGAGCAACGCCGCGUGAGUGAAGAAGGUUUUCGGAUCGUAAAACUCUGUUGGUAGAGAAGAAAGUUGGUGAGAGUGGAAAGCUCACCAAGUGACGGUAACUACCCAGAAAGGGACGGCUAACUACGUG
rnacentral:rRNA from 1 species